ACAACAAAAUUGUUGUACAAAAAAUCGAAUCCACGUCUAUUACACAAAAAGUGACAUGGACCGUAAUGAAAUUGUUUAGAAUGAAAUGAAAUGAAAGUAGAAGAAUUGAAAUGAGACAACACCAUCACAUCAACAGGUAUCGUCGAGAGUGUUCGCGCCAUUGUAAAUUUAGACUACGAGUAAAAGGGUGAAAUUACAGCGGUGGGAAUGAGUGAUGAGAAUAAACCCUAUCACAUAAUUUCUCAUUUAUUUUAUUUAUUUCGCUCGAUUUCAAAAAAGGUUUUAAAAGCAAAGGCUUUUAAGAUGAAUCCUAUUAAUUUUGUCCUCUUUAAAUUUUCAUAAAAGAAAUUCAUUCAUUUUGAUUCAUUCCACGCUAUUCUGAAAAUUAGAAAAAGAUUUGGCUUUAUGGGCUUGUUCCCAUUACACGUACAAUCACUAAUCAAAUAAAAAAUGUCUAAAUAAAUGUCAAGUGAUGUCAAAGCGUUUUGGCGGGAACACAAACAGUGAGCUUUAGUGAAGUUGAUUGAUAAAACUGUUAAUUAUUUUUCUAUUUACUUAUUCUUGUAUGUAUUAACGAUAAGCUUAUAAACCUUUUUUUGUAAUUGCAAUUUAACAAAAGCUACCUACUACAAUAUAUAUAUCUAUUAUCUGGUAACCUAAGGGGUUACUCCAGCCACGCUUUGAUUGGUAGAUGCGUUUACGGGGUUCAACCUGAGAGAAUGUGCUCACACUGGCCCUAGCAAGAGCAGCGCUUUGUAGAAUCUACCACUGGAUCGGAAUCUCGACCCACUGAAAAUAAUGGGUUGUGUUUAAGUGUUAGUAUCGUAACGAGGACGGUGACCGGUGCUUGAAGAGCCUAAAAACACCGAGGGUGGAUCCAGGGGAGUCUAAUUAGCCAAGGAAGUUAAUUGUUAGAAAAAUUGAAAUAAACUAAGAUUAAUUGUUAAAAAAACAAAUGAAACACUGUGUCAAAA